rnacentral:rRNA from 1 species
AUUGAACGCUGGCGGCAGGCCUAACACAUGCAAGUCGAGCGAGCGGCGGACGGGUGAGUAAUGUAUGGGGACUGCCCGAUAGAGGGGGCUAACUACUGGAAACGGUGGCUAAUACCGCAUACUAUCGGAUAACCCAUAUGGGAUUAGCUGGUAGGUGGGGUACAGGCUCACCUAGGCAACGAUCUCUAUCUGGUCUGAGAGGAUGAUCAGCCACACUGGGACGGAGACACGGCCGAGCGUCCUACGGUGGCAGAAGUGGGGAUGAUGGCACAAUGGGCGCAAGCCUGAUGCAGCCAUGCCGGGUGUGUGAAGAUGGCCUUAGGGUUGUAAAGUACUUGCAGCGGGGAGGCGUUACCCGCAGAAGAAGCACCGGCUAACUCCGUGCCAGCAGCCGCGGUAAUUC